GACGAACGCUGGCGGCGUGCCUAAUACAUGCAAGUUGAGCGCUGAAGGUUGGUACUUGUACCAACUGGAUGAGCAGCGAACGGGUGAGUAACGCGUGGGUAAUCUGCCUUUUAGCGGGGGACAACAUUUGGAAACGAAUGCUAAUACCGCAUAAAAACUUUAAACACAAGUUUUAAGUUUUAAAGAUGCAAUUGCUUCACUCAAAGAUGAUCCCUCGUUUUAUUUGCUAGUUGGUGAGUUAAAGGCUCACCAAGGCGAUGAUACAUAGCCGACCUGAGAGGGUGAACGGCCAAAUUGGGAAGGAGACAAGGGCCAAAAUCAUAAGGGAGGCAGCAGGAGGGAAACGUGGGAAAUGGACGAAAGUCUGAACGAGAAAAGCCGAGGGAGUGAAGAAGGUUUUAGGAUCGGAAAACUCUGUUGGUAGAGAAGAAAGUUGGUGAGAGUGGAAAGCUCAUAAAGUGACGGUAACUAAACAGAAAGGGACGGCUAACUACGUG
rnacentral:rRNA from 1 species